AUACGUAGGGUGCGAGCGUUGUCCGGAUUUAUUGGGCGUAAAGGGUCCGCAGGGGGUCUUUUAAGUCAGAUGUGAAAUCCCAUGGCUCAACCAUGGGACUGCAUUUGAAGCUGAAAGACUAGAGUACUGGAGAGGUGAGUGGAAUUCCUGGUGGAGCGGUGGAAUGCGUAGAUAUCAGGAGGAACACCAAGAGCGAAGGCAGCUCACUGGACAGUUACUGACCCUCAGGGACGAAAGCAUGGGUAGCAAACAGGAUUAGAUACCCCAGUAGUCC
rnacentral:rRNA from 1 species